rnacentral:pre_miRNA from 1 species
AAAGAAAUCUUUAGAGAUCAUGUAAAAAUGCAGAUUCUGAUUUGUAGAUCUGGGAUGGGGCCCACGAGUCUACAUUUAUAAUGUGUUUUCAGGUGAUGCUGCU